rnacentral:misc_RNA from 1 species
AUUGGUGAUGAAAAAUCAAAAAUGUACCUGAAAAGUCAAAGCUAUGGGAAGAAAACGAGCAACUAAUGUUCCAAAAAGUCCAGCAAUUGUUUUGAUACCAGCUAAAAUACCAAAAGCUGAAAU